rnacentral:rRNA from 1 species
GCGCAGCAGGCGCGAAACUUCACACUGUGCGAAAGCACGAUGAGGGAAUCCCAAGUGCUUGCACGUAAGUGUAAGCUGUUUCUCUGUCUAAAACGCAGAGAGAGUAAGGGCUGGGUAAGACGGGUGCCAGCCGCCGCGGUAAUACCUGCAGCUCAAGUGGUGACCGUUAUUAUUGGGCCUAAAACGUCCGUAGCCGGUUUAAUAAAUGCCUGGGUAAAUUGUGUAGCUUAACUAUACGAAUUCCGGGUAGACUGUUAAACUUGAGACCGGGAGAAGUUAGAGGUACUCCUGGGGUAGAGGUGAAAUUCUGUAAUCCUAGGGGGACCACCAGUGGCGAAGGCGUCUAACUAGAACGGGUCUGACGGUGAGGGACGAAGCCCUGGGGCGCAAAC